CUCCAGUGAUGACCUUAUAUUAGUGCCACGUGUCUGGGCCACUGAUUAAAAUGAUGGUAUUGAGGAACUGAGGAG